GUUUAGCCCCGAUUGAAGUGGCAUCCUUUUACGAAGAAUGAGUAAAAGAUAUAACGGAAAGCGGGAAAUUGC
rnacentral:sRNA from 1 species